rnacentral:misc_RNA from 1 species
CUCUACCUGUUUAUAAGAGUUUGAUAUGGUACAAGGGCAUGUUUGUCCCCCCUGAAGGAAAGGGUCCUUUAGCCUUAAAUCUCACAGGCAUGGGGAAGGGUCAGGCUUGGGUUAAUGGACAGAGCAUAGGCCGAUAUUGGCCUGCCUAUCUCUCACCACCAACCAACAGGUUGCACUGACAAUUGUGAUUAUAAAGGAUCUUAUAAUCCAUUUAAAUGUCAGAAGAAAUGUGGUCAGCCUGCUCAAACACUGUAUCAUAUCCCGCGCACAUGGGUUCAUCCUGGUGACAACCUACUAGUCAUACAUGAAGAGCUAGGGGGAGACCCUUCAAAGAUUUCUCUGCUAAUAAGAACUGGCCAAGAGAUAUGUUCAAUUGUGUCAGAGGAUGAUCCACCACCAGCUGACUCUUGGAAAU